GUCGAACGCUGGCGGCGUGCCUAACACAUGCAAGUCGAACGAGUGGCGGACGGGUGAUUAACACGUGGGAACCUACCCAUCUGACGGGGAUAACACUUGGAAACAGGUGCUCAUACCGCAUACUGAUGGAUGGACUCGCGGUGGAUUAGCUAGUUGGUGAGGUAACGGCGCACCAAGGCCACGAUCCCUACCUGGUCUGAGAGGAUGACCAGCCACACUGGAACUGAGACACGGUCCAGAUUCCUACGGGAGGCAGCAGUGGGGAAUAUUGCACAAUGGGCGCAAGCCUGAUGCAGCCAUGCCGCGUGUGUGAAGAAGGCCUUCGGGUUGUAAAGCACUUUCAGCGGGGAGGCGUUACCCGCAGAAGAAGCACCGGCUAACUCCGUGCCAGCAGCCGCGGUAAUAC
rnacentral:rRNA from 1 species